UACGAAGGGGGGCUAGCGUUGUUCGGAAUCCCUGGGCGUAAAGCGCCCGCAGGCGGGUCGUUAAGCCAGGGGUGAAAUCCCGAGGCUCAACCUCGGAACUGCCUUUGAUACUGGCGAUCUUUGAGUCCGGGAGAGGUGAGUGGAACUCCGAGUGUAGAGGUGAAAUUCGUAGAUAUUCGGAAGAACACCAGUGGCGAAGGCGGCUCACUGGCCCGGUACUGACGCUCAUGUGCGAAAGCGUGGGGAGCAAACAGG
rnacentral:rRNA from 1 species